rnacentral:rRNA from 1 species
GGGUUAGUAACGCGUGGGAACGUACCCUUCUCUACGGAAUAGCCUCGGGAAACUGGGUUUAAUACCGUAUACGCCCUUUGGGGGAAAGAUUUAUCGGAGAAGGAUCGGCCCGCGUUGGAUUAGGUAGUUGGUGGGGUAAUGGCCUACCAAGCCUACGAUCCAUAGCUGGUUUGAGAGGAUGAUCAGCAACACUGGGACUGAGACACGGCCCAGACUCCUACGGGAGGCAGCAGUGGGGAAUCUUAGACAAUGGGGGAAACCCUGAUCUAGCCAUGCCGCGUGAGCGAUGAAGGCCUUAGGGUUGUAAAGCUCUUUCAGAUGGGAAGAUAAUGACGGUACCAUCAGAAGAAGCCCCGGCUAACUCCGUGCCAGCAGCCGCGGUAAUACGGAGGGGGCUAGCGUUGUUCGGAAUUACUGGGCGUAAAGCGCGCGUAGGCGGAUUGGAAAGUUGGGGGUGAAAUCCCGGGGCUCAACCUCGGA